GCGUGGUGGACUGCAGCAGCUGCACCACAAUCGUCUGGUGUGUCUGCGGGAGACAGAACCCAGAGGCAGCUCAGCUACCCCAGCCGGGGCACGGCCCACGAGCCUCACUACCGUGAGAACCUAUGGCGCCACUCCCACUGGGUUCUCCUCCAUCCUCGGUGUCUAUAGUCUAUGCGGUCCUCUGAGCCUUCCUCAGGGAGACCUGGGACUCUGGUUAAGGCUGGAAAGCAUCUCUGCUGGGCUCUCCGUGACUUGGGUCAGCCCCUGCACAGGAUGUCAGUGAGUCACAGGGCUGCCCGCCCGCCCGCCCGCCCAGCACCACGGACAGUGCAAGGGCUCUGUGAGCAGUCCUCCCAGAUCUCAGGCUCUGCUGCUGUCCCGAGCACCUCACCACCCCGGGUCCUACACACCAGCUGGACUGACUGAGGGAUUCCUGUGUCAAUCUUGCCAGCCCUGUGGGACUGCGUGGAGUCAGUGGAGAGUGUGUCCAUGGGGUUUCCAGAAGGUGGAAGACCAAUCCUAAACAUAGCUGCCCCCACCCAUGGGUUGGCUCCGCCUGAUAAGGAGAAAGUAACUGACAGCCAGCAUUCACUGUUCUCUGCUUCCUGACUGGUGAAGUGUGACCCAUGCUCCUGCUGCCAGGCUGGACUGUACCCCUCAGACAGACAGCCUCCCCCAUAAUUCCUUAAAUUGCUCCUCGUCGGUUACUUUGUAUCAUUUCCACGUCGUUCCCAGCACACACUGGGGCCGCUUGUUACACAGCAGACAACUAAUGCACUGUAUGGAGCCGCAUCUUCACGUGCUCAUGCGAGCAAGGCUGUGCUCCCCGGGAGAGCCAGCCUGAGAGGCCAUGCUUGGCCGUGGGGGCUGCUCACCUGCAGCGACGUGCUGUUCUCUGAAAACGGGGAGCUGAAGAAGGCGCUGAUGGUGUCCAGCACCACGGUGAGCACGUACUUCUCCAGGGUGGGGUCCGCCAGGCGCUUCUCCCGUUUGUUGCAGACCAGAGCCAUGUCCAGGGUGAAGUUCUCAAAGAGCGUCCAGAUGUGGUUGCUGGUGUAGAUCUCCUUCAUUUCCACCUCGGUGUCCACGUAGCAGUGAUUCACGAAGUUCACGUACGCCAUUUUCACCUGGGCAGCGGGCGAGGUAUGUCAGCAUACCUGCCCAGGCUCUGCCCUUCAUGUGUCCCUCCGCACAGCCCCAGGGUGCACACCUCCGUGAUGCAGUCCUCAUGGGUCACCACAGACACCACGUCCUCCAGAGGCAGCAGGGAGGUGCACUUGAUCUCUGUGUAGACAUUCUUGCCUUCAGCACAGGCAGCCAGCAGGUCCACCAGGGAGAUGUGGUACAUGAGGGGGCUGUGGUCCUCCACGCCAUCCCGGGCUGCCUUCAUCAUGUCCAGGAGAUGGGCCAGAGAGGCCUUGUCAUUGUAGAACACCACCACGUCGUCACCCGCAUUGGUCAGCUGUGAUGGAAGGCAGGUGCCAAUCAGAACCCCCGGCCAGCAGCCCCAGGAACCACCCCUCGUCAGGACGAGCUGAGACCGCGACCCCAACUAUGGCCUGACACCCGUGCUGAAAGUUUGGGGUUUGUUUUGGGUGUCUGAAACAGUUUCAUGUAACCCGGGCUAGCUUCGAGAUCACUAUGUAGCUGAGGAUAACUUUGAACGUGUUUUUUAACUGCUGGUUUUUAUUUAUUUUAUGUACAUGGG